CUACGGGUUGCUGCAGUCGGGCAUAAUCUACAAUGCACGCAAGUGUGAUAGUUUGAGCCAGAGUGUUUUUCAAAUGAAAAGCUUUUAUGAAAUGUAAAAAGUUUCACGAAUAAGGACUGGGUAAGACGAGUGCCAGCCGCCGCGGUAAUACUCGCGGUCCAAGUCGCAGCCAUUAUUAUUGGGUCUAAAACAUCCGUAGCUUGCUGAGUAAGUUCCUUGUGAAAUUUGGUAUCUUAAGUAUCAAGCGAGCAAGGAGUACUGCUCAGCUAGAGACUGGGAGAAGUGAGAAGUACGUUUAAAGUAACGGUAAAAUGUGUUAAUCUUAGACGGACUCACAAUAGCGAAGGCAUCUCACUAGAACAGUUCUGACAGUAAGGGAUGAAGGCUAGGGGCGCAAAACGGAUUAGAUACCCCCGUAGUC
rnacentral:rRNA from 1 species